rnacentral:rRNA from 1 species
CAUCCGGCAUCUAUAAUGCAGUCGAGCGGACAGAUGGGAGCUUGCUCCCUGAUGUUAGCGGCGGACGGGAGAGUAACACGUGGGUAACCUGCCUGUAAGACUGGGAUAACUCCGGGAAACCGGGGCUAAUACCGGAUGGUUGUCUGAACCGCAUGGUUCAGACAUAAAAGGUGGCUUCGGCUACCACUUACAGAUGGACCCGCGGCGCAUUAGCUAGUUGGUGAGGUAACGGCUCACCAAGGCGACGAUGCGUAGCCGACCUGAGAGGGUGAUCGGCCACACUGGGACUGAGACACGGCCCAGACUCCUACGGGAGGCAGCAGUAGGGAAUCUUCCGCAAUGGACGAAAGUCUGACGGAGCAACGCCGCGUGAGUGAUGAAGGUUUUCGGAUCGUAAAGCUCUGUUGUUAGGGAAGAACAAGUGCCGUUCAAAUAGGGCGGCACCUUGACGGUACCUAACCAGAAAGCCACGGCUAACUACGUGCCAGCAGCCGCGGUAAUACGUAGGUGGCAAGCGUUGUCCGGAAUUAUUGGGCGUAAAGGGCUCGCAGGCGGUUUCUUAAGUCUGAUGUGAAAGCCCCCGGCUCAACCGGGGAGGGUCAUUGGAAACUGGGGAACUUGAGUGCAGAAGAGGAGAGUGGAAUUCCACGUGUAGCGGUGAAAUGCGUAGAGAUGUGGAGGAACACCAGUGGCGAAGGCGACUCUCUGGUCUGUAACUGACGCUGAGGAGCGAAAGCGUGGGGAGCGAACAGGAUUAGAUACCCUGGUAGUCCACGCCGUAAACGAUGAGUGCUAAGUGUUAGGGGGUUUCCGCCCCUUAGUGCUGCAGCUAACGCAUUAAGCACUCCGCCUGGGGAGUACGGUCGCAAGACUGAAACUCAAAGGAAUUGACGGGGGCCCGCACAAGCGGUGGAGCAUGUGGUUUAAUUCGAAGCAACGCGAAGAACCUUACCAGGUCUUGACAUCCUCUGACAAUCCUAGAGAUAGGACGUCCCCUUCGGGGGCAGAGUGACAGGUGGGUGCAUGGUUUGUCGUCAGCUCGUGUCGUGAGAUUGUUGGGUUUAAGUCCCGCACGAGCGCAUCCUUUGAUCCUAGCUGCAGCCAUCAGGUUGGGCCACCUUCUAAGGUGAACUGACCGGGGGUGAACCAAAAAAAC